UGGGGAAUAUUGCACAAUGGGCGCAAGCCUGAUGCAGCCAUGCCGCGUGUGUGAAGAAGGCCUUCGGGUUGUAAAGCACUUUCAGCGGGGAGGAAGGCGUUAAGGUUAAUAACCUUGGCGAUUGACGUUACCCGCAGAAGAAGCACCGGCUAACUCCGUGCCAGCAGCCGCGGUAAUACGGAGGGUGCAAGCGUUAAUCGGAAUUACUGGGCGUAAAGCGCACGCAGGCGGUCUGUCAAGUCGGAUGUGAAAUCCCCGGGCUCAACCUGGGAACUGCAUUCGAAACUGGCAGGCUAGAGUCUUGUAGAGGGGGGUAGAAUUCCAGGUGUAGCGGUGAAAUGCGUAAAGAUCUGGAGGAAUACCGGUAGCGAAGGCGGCCCCCUAGACAAAGACUGACGCUCAGGUGCGAAAGCGUGGGGAGCAAACAGG
rnacentral:rRNA from 1 species